AUUGAACGCUGGCGGCAGGCCUAACACAUGCAAGUCGAGCGGGAACUUCGGUUCUAGCGGCGGACGGGUGAGUAAUGCGUAGGAAGCUACCCGACAGAGGGGGAUACCAGUUGGAAACGACUGUUAAUACCGCAUAAUGUCUACGGACCAAAGUGUGGGACCUUCGGGCCACAUGCUGUCGGAUGCGCCUACGUGGGAUUAGCUAGUUGGUGAGGUAAUGGCUCACCAAGGCGACGAUCCCUAGCUGGUUUGAGAGGAUGAUCAGCCACACUGGAACUGAGACACGGUCCAGACUCCUACGGGAGGCAGCAGUGGGGAAUAUUGGACAAUGGGCGAAAGCCUGAUCCAGCCAUGCCGCGUGUGUGAAGAAGGCCUUCGGGUUGUAAAGCACUUUCAGUAGGGAGGAAGAGUUGAGUGUUAAUAGUACUCAGCUUUGACGUUACCUACAGAAGAAGCACCGGCUAACUCUGUG
rnacentral:rRNA from 1 species